rnacentral:rRNA from 1 species
GAUGAACGCUGGCGGCGUGCCUAAUACAUGCAAGUCGAGCGAACAGACGAGGAGCUUGCUCCUCUGACGUUAGCGGCGGACGGGUGAGUAACACGUGGAUAACCUACCUAUAAGACUGGGAUAACUUCGGGAAACCGGAGCUAAUACCGGAUAAUAUAUUGAACCGCAUGGUUCAAUAGUGAAAGACGGUUUUGCUGUCACUUAUAGAUGGAUCCGCGCCGCAUUAGCUAGUUGGUAAGGUAACGGCUUACCAAGGCAACGAUGCGUAGCCGACCUGAGAGGGUGAUCGGCCACACUGGAACUGAGACACGGUCCAGACUCCUACGGGAGGCAGCAGUAGGGAAUCUUCCGCAAUGGGCGAAAGCCUGACGGAGCAACGCCGCGUGAGUGAUGAAGGUCUUCGGACCGUAAAACUCUGUUAUUAGGGAAGAAAAAAUGUGUAAGUAACUAUGCACGUCUUGACGGUACCUAAUCAGAAAGCCACGGCUAACUACGUG